CCCACUUUAUUAGAGAUUGAGUUUGAAACCUUCAUUUACAUCUGGUAAUUUAGUACUUAUUCUACUUGUUCUUGCUGGUUCUUCGAUUGCUUGCAGGACGAGUGCCCUAGUGGCCGGGUGUUGCGCUCCACAAGAUCGUGACAGCCAUUGGAGGCGGUGUAUCGGUUGCUAAGGCGCAGUCUUGAGGGCUGUAGUCGGGCCGUGAACGUCAUCUCCAUUCACUAAUCGAGUUAUCCAGCGCCUCUCAUCGAAAGAUCAGGCGGAAACCCUAGUGGGUUCACAUCAGUUGGUAUCAGAGCAAGGUUCUUCGGUGAGAGACUUCUAAUCCUUUGCUGUUUUUAAUUAAUUUCCUAUAGUCCAGAAAAGCAAAAAAAAUAUAGUAGAUUAGUUUUUCCAUAAUCCUAUUAAACCUUUGUGCCUUGGCUAGUACCGUUUUAGUUAGGGCUUGUUGAAUUUGCGUUGCUUCGGUUUGUGUCGAGUUGCUGGUCUUAGUGUCUAGUCCUUUAGAGUUUCGAGUUCUUGUCACCAUCUAUACACAGCCGAGUAUUACCAUAUCUUCUCUCUGUCGAAUCUGUUGCGAAGUCUGAAUUGAACUGUGGUCUUGGUCCGGAUCGAGUAGAGUUCCAAUCUGAGUUCAAAAAGAAAGAUAACUCUACUUGUUCGGCCUUACUCUAGAGAGAAAGAGAGAGAGUGUGGAGCGAAAAAAGUGUGUGGAGCGAAUUGCUCUUUUGUAUUCUUUUGUUCAUAUAAUCAGUUUUUGAGGUUGCCCAAAAAAAAGAAAAAAAAGAAAAAAAAAGAAAAGAGAAAAGAUUCAAAAAAAGGGGCUGUUUUUCAUAUUGAUUUUAGGUUUGUCCCACCUUGUUUUCGGGGGUGUGCUGUGGUUUUCCUUUGUGUCCAGGCUCACGUCUCUAGCACGGUCUAGCCUAGGACCAGCACAGUACCAUCGUCGAACGCUUAUUCAGCUCGCUUUUAUAACUAACGUGGUGCUAGUUCGUUCCUUGUUUCAGCCCACCUAUAGCUCCACAUACUCUACAGCUUGACAGGUCUUGUGCUGCAGCACCGAUACACUUCGUCCAUUGAUGUACACUUGUUGGCAGACGACCCCUCCUGUCAAGCAAGGUAAGAAUUGGUAAGAACUUGUGUUACAGGUUGAGUGUGAGCGACUUGCUGUAGCUACAUCCUAGUAGUUGUAGGGCUUUUAUUUCUUCACUUGCCUUUUUGUUGUCUUUGUCUUUGAACCAUGCCAGG
rnacentral:lncRNA from 1 species